rnacentral:lncRNA from 12 species
GGAUGGCAUCAACAUUUCAUAGUGAAGAAUCAUGGUUUUGUUACAUCAGGAAAAUUAAAUUGGGAGAGUUAUUUUCUUUCCCAGUGAUAGUGGCAGUUAGAAUAUUUCACCUGUAAUGAGAUGUGUGCGUUCUGUGCCAUCGCGAGCCACGGCUCGGCCAUUAAAUCUAUGUAAAUGAAGAGAAACACGGGAGAGCCGCGCAUAAUAACGCGCGGAACAGAGAAAUGGAUCCUGGAAAGUGAUUAAUUUAUUUGAUGAUGCCUCAAGUGAGGAAUUUUAGGUCACAAAUGAAGUGACAGAAUGACAAAUUACCAUUUUAAAGAAUUUACUGGGCAUCAUUACUGAACAAUUGUCAGGUAGUUUAUGGUGGCUGAGAAGAUGGUAUAAAUAUAGAUCUUUUCCUUAUCUGAGAUGAAUUAUUAAUCACCUUUUUAAAAAUCUUUGUGAGUGAUGGUUGGCCGUCUCAUUGGAAAUAAUGUGUUCUACAAUUUUAACUAAAUUCUAAUAUGAUAUGUAACAGGAAUCUUUACAAUUAAAGUCUCAGUGGAGAGUGGUAGGAGGUUUACAGUCAAUUGCGGUUUUAAUGUGAUAGAAGAGGAUGAACCCGCUCGCAUAUUUCAAUGGAUUUCCUUAGGUUAUGUCCCUUCCCCGGCUGUAUGUCACGGUGCCUACUACCAGGACCGACUGCAGUGUGCAAGGCGAAGUUGCAAUUUGAAAUAAAGACAUUGUCUCCAGGUCCCAUCUCCACACUGCAGGCUGGAUUGGGGGAAAUGUGCGCGCUGCUUCCCUUUGCUGCAAAAGACGCUCAGGGUUUCCCUGUUGUGCAUAAUGGCACAUUUGGGGUCAGUCCCCUCCAGCGUCUCUCCAUUAGAGUGACUGCAACUGGAUGACCUGUGGCUAGCUGUCCUGAGUCCCGCGGCCUCCCAGUGAAGCCCAGUGUCUUCGGAGGGACGUCACCUAUGGCUUGCAACGGGACUGCCCCCCUCAAAGUCUAGUUGUAACCGUUUAAAUGCUAACAGUAUUAAGCAUGCUGCCAAAACACAAACACUCAGCCUAUGUCAUUAAAAUUUAAUUAUACGGGGGCAGCUGAGCCCAGUCUGAGUUUUGAAUCUGAAAAAUCUUGUUAAAAAAAAUAAAUAAAAAUGAAAGUACCA